rnacentral:rRNA from 1 species
GUCUAUGGCCAUGCCACCCUGAACAUGCCCGAUCUCGUCUGAUCUUGGAAGCUAAGCAGGGUCAGGCCUGGUUAAUACUUGGAUGGGAGACCACCUAGGAAUAUUAGGUGCUGUAGGCA